GGCUACACAGCCCAGUGCGUUCUGUGCCAGCGCUCCACACUUGCCAGGCUAAGGUGGGUGUUGAGCCAGAACGGGUGAUGUCAGCUGUGCACUCCAGACCUCCAGUGCGCCUCCUCGGUCCAGGAUAUCCGGCGCCGCUUAUGCGCACUGUGUCGCCGGUGUGCGGCCCCAGUCCAGUCCGGCCCGUCCCUGCUCCCCGCACCAAGCCAGUGGUGUGUGCCCCCAGUCCAGUCCGGCCCGUCCCUGCUCCCCGCACCAGGUUAGUGGUGCGUGUCCACAGUCCUGUCCGGCCCAUCCCGGCUCCCCGCACCAAGCCGGUGGUGCGUGUCCCCAGUCCGGCCCGUCCCUGCUCCCCGCACCAGGUUGGUGGUGCGUGUCCCCAGGCCAGUCCGGCCCGUCCCUGCUCCCCGCACCAGGUUAGUGGUGCGUGUCCCCAGUCCUGUCCGGCCCGUCCCUGCUCCCCGCACCAAGCCAGUGGUGUGUGCCCCCAGUCCAGUCCGGCCCGUCCCUGCUCCCCGCACCAGGUUAGUGGUGCGUGUCCCCAGUCCUGUCCGGCCCGUCCCUGCUCCCCGCACCAGGUUAGUGGUGCGUGUCCACAGU
rnacentral:lncRNA from 1 species